AAGACCUUGCGCUUUUGGAGCGGCCGAUGUCUGAUUAGCUUGUUGGURAGGUAAARGCUUACCAAGGCUUCGAUCAGUAGCUGGUCUGAGAGGACGACCAGCCACACUGGGACUGAGACACGGCCCAGACUCCUACGGGAGGCAGCAGUGGGGAAUUUUGGACAAUGGGGGCAACCCUGAUCCAGCCAUGCCGCGUGAGUGAAGAAGGCCUUCGGGUUGUAAAGCUCUUUCAGCCGGAAMGAAACGGUUACGGUUAAUACCCGUGACUACUGACGGUACCGGAAGAAGAAGCACCAGCUAACUACGUGCCAGCAGCCGCGGUAAUACGUAGGGUGCAAGCGUUAAUCGGAAUUACUGGGCGUAAAGGGUGCGCAGGUGGUUUUGUAAGUCAGAUGUGAAAUCCCCGGGCUUAACCUGGGAACU
rnacentral:rRNA from 1 species